UCGCAAUAAAACUCUUCCAAUUUGGUGCAGCGAGUGUUGCCGCCUGAAAGCCGAGUUUGGUUUCAAGCCAACCUGGACAACUGCUGUAUGAGGCGCUGUUUCUCAGGAGGAUCAGUGGGAAGGCGUCAGGUCAUGCAGAUGAUAGCAUCAAUUUCACUAUGCGCAGCCUUGGUGCCCUCCAUUAAGAGCAAGCCACUUGCGUUCGCCUUCAGGCAGAUGGUUGAUGUCUUCUAGGAAGCAGUUGGGAAGACUACAUUGAUGCAAGAUUCCAGCAAUGCCAUGCGCUGCAUUUAUUGGUCAAGAUGCUCAGAGAAUGGAGUCCCUGCACCUCGUGGUGAAACGUGAACAUUUUCUUUCUUUUGGAAAGCUAAACGUCAUUUGCAGUAUCAAUUGCAUUCUUGCAGCUCAGAUGUGUACUAUAUUUUUUCUAAUUUUGAAUCAAUUAAUAUUCACUGUUCAGUAUAAAAAUGACGUACAGUGUGAAGGACACGGACUGCGAGAGACGACAUACACUGCGCUGACUUCCAACAAUAUUUUGUUGCGUUGCCACAUCGUGUGUUUAUACACAAGAAGGGCCAUGCGCAGAAAAUGAAAGGCAGUCACAAGGGGUGUUUUAACAGCAAGUCAUUGUACUAAGAACAUGGUCACUAAAAAAAAUCACAAUUUCUAUCUGUGGAGAUACAAGACUUCACUAGGGGUCAGCGUGAUAGAGGGGGCACUAACGCACACACUACCCAUUUUUCUGGUGAAAUAAGCAUCAAUAAUGUACCGGGUGAGCUGUGUUUCGCUAGAACUUGCGUAUCUUCAUAGAGGGGCAUGCAGCGGCAGUCCCGGCAAUGAAUGCCCAAGUGGCCUUGAACCGUGUUAUGGAGGUUAUAGUGCACUCUUAAGCGAUCAUUUAGGCACCUGCCUGUCCGUCCAACAUAUUUACUGCCUCAAAACGGGAAUAUGGUAAACCACAUUCGUUACACAUAUCGCAAA